rnacentral:rRNA from 1 species
UUAGGAAUCUUCCACAAUGGGCGAAAGCCUGAUGGAGCGACACCGCGUGAAGGAUGAAGGCCUUAGGGUCGUAAACUUCUAAAAGAGGGACGAUAAUGACGGUACCUCUUGAGAAGCACCGGCUAACUCCGUGCCAGCAGCCGCGGUAAUACGGAGGGUGCAAGCGUUAUCCGGAAUCACUGGGCGUAAAGGGCGCGUAGGUGGUCUGUUAAGUCUGGCGUUAAAGCCUGGGGCUCAACCCCAGAUCAGCGUUGGAUACUGGCAGGCUAGACGGUUGGAGAGGCGAGUAGAAUUACCAGUGUAGCGGUGGAAUGCGUAGAUACUGGUAGGAAUACCCAUUGCGAAGGCAGCUCGCUGGACAACACGUGACACUGAGGCGCGAAAGUGUGGGGAGCAAACCGG